UCUUAUGGAUGAACAAAAAAAGUAGUUUCUUGAGAUGGAAUCUACUCCUGGUGAAGAUGCUAUGAA
rnacentral:pre_miRNA from 1 species